CGUACUGCACAUUGUAUUGUGUCUUGAUCGGUAAAAAACAAAAUUCCCUAACAUAUACCUUUGGCUUGAGUCCUAGAAUUUUGUUUUUCUUUUUUUUUCUUUUUCAAGAAUUGAGCACUUGAUCACCAUUUGGGACCAUCACCAUCACCAUGUGUGCCAUCCUUGCUCAAUUUUUGGAUGUAGACAACAUAACUUGUCUCAUACACAACACUAGAAUUUAGAGGCCAGUCCACUUGGUUGUCUCAAUUAUCCAAAACCAGAUAUAGGGCUUUCAAUGUUCUACCAUGAUAUUAUUGUACUUACAAUAUCAUAAGUGUGCCACAUAUAUCUAGCAUUUACGUGUCACACACUAGGGUUAUAUUUGCUCUUUCUCCAAUGAAAUGCAAGUACAUGUGGCGCACACAUUUAUAGUUGAUGAGAUCUCAAAUCUAUCAUGCUACGACUAGAGGCAAAAAAAUUCACAGAUAUAUCACACAAUAUGGAAACUUGAUAUUAAUGGUCAAUUGACACAUUCAUGUUAGAAGACUCAACCGUACCUUUGGUACCAUCAACUCAACACGCGGCCUUGUAACACAUCUACAAUCCAAUUCCAUGGGCUACCAAUUUGUGCCAUUACCCAAAAAGAAACCUUCAUUUUCCUAAGGAAAAAGUUGGCAGUUUCAAGAAGGAAAACAAAAAUUGCACAAGACCAGAGAAAACGGUAAUGGUACCUAUAAGACGUCCGUCCGUCCUGUCCACUCAUUUUGUUGCUCCCCCACGCCUUCCCAUCCACUCAUUUCUUUCAUCUCCACUCUUCUCUCACAUCUCGCUGCCACUUCCACCGCUCGCACCAUGCGGCCGCACUUUCUGCCAUGCGCGAGCCGCUCCUCCCUCCUUUUCUCCCUCCCUCCCCGCUGCGACCCACACGCCCUCCAUGCCGCCGGAGUAGAGCACGACGGUGGCAGCUUUCAGUGAGCGGCGCAACUCCCUUCCUCCCUGCUCUUUCUCCCUUGCUCUCGUGACCUCCAUGCAUCUGGAGAUGGAGAUAACGACGCGGCUCCGACGAGGUAGGUGGGGAGGGAUUUGGAUCUGAAGCCUUUCUCUCUCUUUUCCCUCUCUCCUCUUUGUGGAUCUGGAUCUGAGCCCUCCUCUGCUCCUCCUCCACCUCUUGCUCCUCCUGCUCUUCCUCUGGAUCUAGAUCUACGGGAUAUUGUGUUGGCCAGGGUUUCAGUGAGCUCUUGGGAUUCAGUGCUCGUACAUGUUCUAAUGGUGUUCUCUGGUUUUUUGCAGUAUGUUUUUCAGGUGAUGUUGCAGUAGGAUAGGGUUCCGGCGAGCUCUCGGGUUCAGAUCUCGUCAUUGUUGCAAUGGUUCUAUCUAGAUGUUGCAGUAGGUUUUAGUCGUUGUUGCAGUUUUGUGUUUUGAGAUGUUGUUUCAGUUGCUUCAGUCUGCAUGUUGUAGUAGUUUGUUUUAUGUUGUUACAACAUUUGUUCAGUGUUGUUGUAGUACUAUGUCCAUGGUGUUUUAGUUGCUCCAUCCAAUGCUUUAAUCUGCACUGUUGUAUUAGUUGUUGCAUGUUGUUGCAACAAUUGGUCGAUGUUGUUGUAAUACUAUGUCUAUGGUGUUUCAGUUGCUCCAUCUAAUGGUUCAAACUAUGCUGUUGUAUUAGUUGUUACAUGUUGUUGCAACAGCCGUUCUUUGUUGUUGUAAUACUAUAUUUAUGGUGUUUCGGUUGCUCCAUCUAAUGCUUCAACCUAUGUUGUUGUAUUAGUUGUUACAUGUUGUUGCAACAGCCGUUCUUUGUUGUUGUAAUACUAUAUUUAUGGUGUUUCAGCUGUUCUAUCCAAUACUUCAAUCUGUAUGUUGUAGC
rnacentral:lncRNA from 1 species